rnacentral:rRNA from 1 species
GAUGAACGCUGGCGGCGUGCCUAAUACAUGCAAGUCGAGCGAACAGACGAGGAGCUUGCUCCUCUGACGUUAGCGGCGGACGGGUGAGUAACACGUGGAUAACCUACCUAUAAGACUGGGAUAACUUCGGGAAACCGGAGCUAAUACCGGAUAAUAUAUUGAACCGCAUGGUUCAAUAGUGAAAGACGGUUUUGCUGUCACUUAUAGAUGGAUCCGCGCCGCAUUAGCUAGUUGGUAAGGUAACGGCUUACCAAGGCAACGGUGCGUAGCCGACCUGAGAGGGUGAGCGGCCACACUGGAACUGAGACACGGUCCAGACUCCUACGGGAGGCAGCAGUAGGGAAUCUUCCGCAAUGGGCGAAAGCUUGACGGAGCAACGCCGCGUGAGUGAUGAAGGUCUUCGGAUCGUAAAACUCUGUUAUUAGGGAAGAACAAAUGUGUAAGUAACUAUGCACGUCUUGACGGUACCUAAUCAGAAAGCCACGGCUAACUACGUG